UGGUAUUUAACGGUCUUCCUGCUCUGCUGAUGAUCAGCCUAACGGUGGUCCUCUUGGCAGAGUGCAGCAAGACGUGGACCUAGGUCUUAUUCUGUGGCCCUCCAGGCCCUUUGGCCUCAGGACCAUCGGGUGAGCUGGGGACCCAGAACAGGCUGAGAGGACUGUCUCACAGAACUCUGGAGCCCCCAUAAACGCCGGAGCCCCCCUCACCACCACCCACCGCCCAGGUCCAGACCUGGAAGCAGCCGGGAACCUCACCCCCAUCCCUGCUCUGGUUCCGGGAGUCCUCAGCAGCUGGAGGAUAUCACAGGACCAUUAAGGAGGUUUCAUCCAGAAGGCGAGAAGAAACAUCCCUCAGAUGCAAAGAACAUCAAGAACUAGCUGGAUGAAGACACUUUGUUGUUGCCCAAUUAAUAGGGUGAAUCCCUAUAACUGACUCAACUGAAGAGCUCCCUGAGGACCAGCUUGAGGAGCUAUCCAUUUCAACGUUGGAGGAAGAGGCUCUGCCCAAAUCCAUAGCAUGUGAACAAGCCAGUGAACACGGUAAAUAUUCAGGGAUCAUCCCUCUGAUGAAAAUAAUCUAGUUGAUCAAGCUCCCCAGGAGGACCUGGUGUUGGAACUGCCCCAGGCCAGGGCUGAGGAACCGCCUCUCCGACCCCUGGAGGAAUCCAGAGCAGCCUAUGAACACGCUCUCCAGGAGGACCUGGUGGUGAAACCGCGUGAGGCCUGGGCUAAGAAGCAGCCUCAGAGGACCCUGAAGGCAUAUGGAGCAGCCUAUGAACACGGUAAAUAUUCAGGGAUCAUCCCUCUUCUGAGAAACAACCCAGUUGAUCAAGGUGGGGCUCUGUUGCUGGCUCUGGUUGGAGAGACUUCACUGAGGACCUGCCAGUCAACCCACCAUGUGACAACACAGAAGACAUUGAGUAUUUCUCCAAGGUGGCCCUUUCAGGAUGUGAAACUGACUGUUUUCUGGAAAGUCUUAGCAUCAGUGAUGCGGAAGACUAUGCAGCCACUCCAGUUGAGUGCUGCCCUCAGACACCAGAUUCGUUCUACAGAAGUCAGUGGUGAUGAUGAGGAAGACUGGAAGAGCAAGAGUGAACAUGGGACCUGGGGUGAAAGGCUCUGCUCUGAAUCCCUGAAGACCUGGACCUGGACCCCAUCCUGGACCCCAGAGGUGGUGGAGCCCCCACAGCACCAGGAGCCUCAUCUGGACCAGAUCAGGGGAGGCCUCAUUGCCUCUCUCCUGAGAGUCCUCAUUUAGUACAGCUUCAGUUGUUUUGCUGCGUUGAUGUAGUAUUAGUUUUAUCUACAGUUUUAUCUUUAUGUUCUGUAUAUAUCUAUAUGUUCCAUAUUUAUAAGUAAGUUUUUUCAUUAAAUGUUUUUAUCUAUUUCAAAAUAACUUUUUGUAAGAACACAUAUGUAUAAAGUAACCCCCUCAACAGAGGUAGAACUUAAGAAAUUGUCAUAAGCCAGUCACCUUAGUGUCCACCACCAGGAUUAUUUCCCCCUUCACGCAACUCAGUCUUUGUUGUUUAAGGAACUGCAAAUUUAGUUCUAACAUCUAUCCUUCUGUCAUUGUCUUUAAGAAUUCUGUUUUCUCACAUCUGCUCAUUCCAGUGGUCAUAGGAGGUCAAUAUUACCCUAGAUCUUUCAAGACUUGCAUGUCAGGAUUUUUCAGAACUCAGUCUGCUUUCAGGGUAAAAAGUUCAUGAUCCAUCAUUGAUCUCCAUUUGUAGCUUAAGCAUGUUUCUCUCUUUUCUUCUAACACAGAGGAUUUCUCUCCAAAAAGGCUCUUUAAAUUUUAGUUGUCAUUCCUUAUAUUUCUCCUGCUCUUUUAUUCCAGCUGCCCAAAGGAUUAUUCUCAUUGACUAUAUUCUCAUGGUGUACAUUUUGUCUCCCAAACUCAUUUAUUUUAUAAGGUAUUUUUGUAAGUAUUAAUCUCUGUCAUGCAGCUCUCUCAUCACCAUAUCCCUCUCCUCUCUGGAAAAAACAUCUUUGUUCUCUGUUUCGAUGACUACAUUACUGUUUGGUUAUUUUGGUUCACUGGUUUUGAUUUUCAGUUUCCACAUUCAAGUGACAUCAUACUGUAUUUGUCACUCUGUCUGACUUAUUUUCCUUAGCAUAAAACCCUCUAGGUCCAUCCAUUUUCUCACAAAUGACAAGAUUUCAUUCUUCUUUUUGGCUGAGUAAUAAUCCAUGCAUACCACAGC
ensembl:lncRNA